rnacentral:rRNA from 1 species
CGCGCCUAACACAUGCAAGUCGCACAGAAGCGGAGCAAUCCGCGGUACAGUGGCGCACGGGCGAGUAACACGUGGAUGACCUUCCCUGGAGUGGUGGAUAACCUGCCGAAAGGCGGGCUAAUCAGCAUGGGACCACGACGCUUUGGCGAUGUGGUGAAAGCGGGCCUCUAUAUAUAAGCUCGCGCUCCGGGACGGGUCCGCGUCCCAUCAGCUAGUUGGUGAGGUAACGGCUCACCAAGGCAACGACGGGUAGCUGGUCUGAGAGGAUGGCCAGCCACACUGGAACUGAGACACGGUCCAGACUCCUACGGGAGGCAGCAGUGGGGAAUCUUGCGCAAUGGGCGAAAGCCUGACGCAGCGACGCCGCGUGGGCGAAGAAGGCCUUCGGGUUGUAAAGCCCUGUGGGGGAGAACGAACCGUACGGGGGCGAACACCCUCCGUGCCUGACGGUACUCCUUUAGCAAGCAUCGGCUAACUCUGUG